GGGGCCCUCCGGGCCGGAGGGGCCUCCGGCGGGGCCCAAGCCCCAGGCCUGACACGCUGGGCAGAGAGAUCUCCCAGCUAAACUCUUCCUGGGGCGGCGGUUCUCAAAAGGCAACCCUUUCUUUUUGAGGCCGGUUUUGGACCAGUUGCCACUUGGGGUCCCUGUCUCCCCCAGCCAUCAGGGCCCCCAGGGGUCCCUUAUUAGAGGAGGCCCCUCGGCCAGUCAGCAUCGGGGUUGCCUCCAUCAUUACCUUCAGGUUGAUUAUGCGCGUCUGUGUGAAAGAAGGCUUGUUAACGGGUCUUUAGUACCUCAAUAGCCCUCUCCUGUGACCUGGCCUGUAUACACAACUGCGGAGUUCCGGGUUUCUCAUGACCUUGCGCCGGGCUUCGCUAGCGCGUGCGCGGUACGCACCCCGUCCGCAGGGCCUGGGCAGCUAUUUUUUUGUAGGCCUUUGGAGUUACGGCCGGUUCCAAACCCGUGCAUAGUCUGCUGGACAGAGGCAUCUCCCUGAAGCUUCUCCUAGGUUCCGUGAGGCUAGAGGAGUCUGGACCGGCUUGCGAGGAUGGGGCCUACAGUGCUGCCGAGGUCAUCCUUCGGAAAGCAACACUUAGAGAGACCAUGAGCGGGGGAGGGGCAGAGAGAGAGGGAGACACAGAAUCGGAA